CGGCCUGAGGUCGGACGAGGCUACCCGCUGAAUUUCCGCAUAUUACUAAGCGGAGGAAAAGAAACUAACGAGGAUUCCCUCAGUAACGGCGAGUGAAGCGGGACGAGCCCAGCGCCGAAUCCGGCCGCUUAUGGAGCGGACGGAAUUGUGGCGUAUGGAAUUCGCUUCGAGCGCGGACCGGCUGCCCACGUCCUUCUGAUCGAGGCUUCAUCCCAUAGCGAGUGUCAGGCCCUUGGCGGCGGCUGGACCGGGCUCUCGGUGUCUUCCCGGAG
rnacentral:ncRNA from 1 species